rnacentral:rRNA from 1 species
GACGAACGCUGGCGGCGUGCUUAACACAUGCAAGUCGAACGGAAAGGCCCUGCUUUUGUGGGUUGCUCGAGUGGCGAACGGGUGAGUAACACGUGAGUAACCUGCCCUUGACUUUGGGAUAACUUCAGGAAACUGGGGCUAAUACCGGAUAGGAGCUCCUGCUGCAUGGUGGGGGUUGGAAAGUUUCGGCGGUUGUGGAUGGACUCGCGGCUUAUCAGCUUGUUGGUGGGGUAGUGGCUUACCAAGGCUUUGACGGGUAGCCGGCCUGAGAGGGUGACCGGCCACAUUGGGACUGAGGUACGGCGCAGACGGCUACGGGAGGCAGCAGUGGGGAAUAUUGCACAGUGGGCGGAAGCCUGAUGCAGAAACGCCGCGUGCGGGAUGACGGCUUUCGGGUUGUAAACAGCUUUCGCCUGUGACGAAGCGUGAGUGACGGUAAUGGGUAAAGAAGCACCGGCUAACUACGUG